rnacentral:tRNA from 1 species
GUCCCCUUCGUCUAGUGGUUAGGACUCGGGAUUUUCAUUCCCGCAACAGGGGUUCAAUUCCCCUAGGGGACG